rnacentral:tRNA from 3 species
GUUUUGGAAGCUAUUGAAGCGUCAGGCUUUUAACCUGAAGACAGUGAUUUUGUUCACCCAAAGUA